AGGAAGGGAGGGAGGGAGGGAGGGAGGAAGGAAGGAAGGAAGGAAGGAAGGAAGGAAGGAAGGAAGGAAGGAAGGAAGGAAAAGGGAGAGGAAGGCAACACUGAUGGGAGACAGUUCAGAACAGCCAAGGGCAUGUCACCUUCAAUGCUGAACAGCCUAGUUAACUUCUAUUGGUUCCCAUGUCUCAGCUCCCCGCCUAUGCAGUUGGAGUGGAUUCUGUCUUCUGCACUCAUGCUAUAUUGUUCUGUUUUUAAUACUGAUGCUACCAUAUCUAUCUAUCUAUCUAUCUAUCUAUCUAUCUAUCUAUCUAUCUAUCAUCCUCAUCAUCCUCAUCAUCCUCAUCAUCAUCAUCACAGUGACCAUUUCCAACUUUAGAAAACUCAGGCUCCAUGUCUCCCCCACUCCCACCAAUGCCUCCCAGUCCUGACUUUCACCAGCCUCACAUCCAGGGAAAGUUAAUCAUCUGUUGUAUAAUGCACCAGAAGCCAAGAAAGAAGAAAUGAUGAUUGAGACAGACGGAGCUGUUGGAACAGGAACUUUGCCCUGUCAGAGAAGAACUCUAAGUUUUAAUCAGUUAAGCUGGUAAAAUGCAAAGAUCGUGGCCUCCAGAGAUAGGAAAAUCUGGUUUCAAGCUUGAGCUGGGCAAGGUACUGUGAGUCCUGGGGUUUUUAUGUGUGGCAGAGCACUGCUGCUCAUCUCAGAGGAUGUGUGUGGAUCAAACACCACAGCUCUGCAAAAAGUUCCAGCCCAGGGCCUGGUACAUGAGGAACAACCAGGACAAGGUUUUUUUUUAUUGUUUGGUCAUUAAUAUUCAACAAGGCUCAUAGCUUCCCUUAGAGAGGCUAUCAUGGGGUAUGGCUCAAAGCAUCAAAACAAAUAUUUGAAACUUCUAACCAAGGCUGUUAAGAGUCCAGGCUACAUUGGAAGCCUGGAGUUGUGUGGGCAGCUGAGGAGAGAGUGGGAGAGGUAAGGAAAUGGAGGAAGCAGGAACCCAAUGAGAAAAACAGUUCACCAUGGCUGCCUGUUCAGGCUGGACUUUGACAAGAUGAGAACUACAGGCUCACUCUUCCACCAGGCCAGACACUGUGGGAGAUCAAGGAAGUCUCUUAAAACCCACAGCUGAGAGAGAAAUUCAGCUAGGUCUGUGGGAAUUUAAUCUCCAAACUGGAAUUGAGAGAUUGAAGAACAUCUUUGUUCUGCACAGUAUCAUGUGACCUCUGCAAAUCAAGACUCUCCACCAAGUUGAAUGAUGGAGUCACAGAAUUCCUGGGAGAGAUGACCCAAUUCCUUCCUUAUUUCUUUUCCCCAAUACUACUAUAUACACUCAAGCAAAACCUCAACUAAUGCCUCCUAAAGAGAUAGUAGUUGGCAAAGGAUUAGAAAUCAUGUGUGGGGGGGAAACAUCUACCAUUCCAGACCAAUUAAAACAGAAUUAGAAACUGCUUAAAACUCUGCCAUGAUUCUAAGUCAUGCUUUGGCCUAAGGCUUGAACCAGGAGUCACCACUGUGGGCUUUGGGCCAUGAACUUGGAACCAGAGCUCUUAGUUCUAAUUCUGAACUGACCACUUAAUAGCUAUUGGUGUUUUCAGGAGAAAUAAAAAGAAUGUGUCUGUAAACACGAACUCCAUCUUGUCAGACACAUGUGUUCUUAAGGGAUGUAUAUAACUUUGGAUAAGUUCCUCAAGACAUGAACUCUAUUAUAAAUGGGAACAACACAGUCCCCAUGACGUAGGCUGUUUUCAUGCUUUAAAAGAAACAUGUUAUGCACGACAUGAAUGAGAGUGACACGUCAGCCAUUGCCAUUAAACACAAUUCACUUGUUCCCCGACCAGAGCUGAGAAACCUUUACCCCGAUUUCAAUUCUUCAGGGGCUUUGGUCAGUGACUCUGAGUCUGUCAUCUUCCAGAGACCUUGCUGAAAAGAAGAGUCCCAAGCAUAGCCCAGAAUUUCAGUAACUUUGUGGUGGCACUGAAGCCUCUGGUGUUUUCAAACUCUCUGAAGGGCCUGGGGACCACACCCCUGGACCCUCCUCCUGAGACGGGACCUGAGUCUAUGGAAGACAGAACUAGGUUCCACUUAGACCACUAGUUCUGUAGUGACACUACUUCUCUAGAGAAAAAGGAAGAAAGCAACACACCUAAAUUUGCCUGAGAGCCACAGUCAAGGUGAGGCAACCAGGAAGUUGGUGAUUUACACAGCUGUUGCUUUUAUUUCCUCUUCCUCCCAUGUAGUAGUGCUGGAGUGAUCAUGGGCAUUUGAGGAUCCAACCAAGAAGCUUAGAUAGAUCCUUUAAGAACACAUGUGUCUGACAAGAUGAAGUUCAUGUUUACAGACACAGUUGGCGCCCAACGUGGGGCUAAAGAAAAAAAGGGCUAAAGAAAAAAAAAAAGAAAAAGAAAAAAGAGGGA